rnacentral:rRNA from 1 species
GGUAGAGCACUGUUUCGGCUAGGGGGCCAUCCCGGCUUACCAACCCGAUGCAAACUGCGAAUACCGGAGAAUGUUAUCACGGGAGACACACGGCGGGUGCUAACGUCCGUCGUGAAGAGGGAAACAACCCAGACCGCCAGCUAAGGUCCCAAAGUCAUGGUUAAGUGGGAAACGAUGUGGGAAGGCCCAGACAGCCAGGAUGUUGGCUUAGAAGCAGCCAUCAUUUAAAGAAAGCGUAAUAGCUCACUGGUCGAGUCGGCCUGCGCGGAAGAUGUAACGGGGCUAAACCAUGCACCGAAGCUGCGGCAGCGACGCUGAUGCGUUGUUGGGUAGGGGAGCGUUCUGUAAGCCUGUGAAGGUGGCCUGUGAGGGUUGCUGGAGGUAUCAGAAGUGCGAAUGCUGACAUAAGUAACGAUAAAGCGGGUGAAAAGCCCGCUCGCCGGAAGACCAAGGGUUCCUGUCCAACGUUAAUCGGGGCAGGGUGAGUCGACCCCUAAGGCGAGGCCGAAAGGCGUAGUCGAUGGGAAACGGGUUAAUAUUCCCGUACUUGGUGUUACUGCGAAGGGGGGACGGAGAAGGCUAUGUUGGCCGGGCGACGGUUGUCCCGGUUUAAGCGUGUAGGCUGGUUUUCCAGGCAAAUCCGGAAAAUCAAGGCUGAGGCGUGACGACGAGGCACUACGGUGCUGAAGCAACAAAUGCCCUGCUUCCAGGAAAAGCCUCUAAGCAUCAGGUAACAUCAAAUCGUACCCCAAACCGACACAGGUGGUCAGGUAGAGAAUACCAAGGCGCUUGAGAGAACUCGGGUGAAGGAACUAGGCAAAAUGGUGCCGUAACUUCGGGAGAAGGCACGCUGACACGUAGGUGAAGUGAUUUACUCAUGGAGCUGAAGUCAGUCGAAGAUACCAGCUGGCUGCAACUGUUUAUUAAAAACACAGCACUGUGCAAACACGAAAGUGGACGUAUACGGUGUGACGCCUGCCCGGUGCCGGAAGGUUAAUUGAUGGGGUCAGCGCAAGCGAAGCUCCUGAUCGAAGCCCCGGUAAACGGCGGCCGUAACUAUAACGGUCCUAAGGUAGCGAAAUUCCUUGUCGGGUAAGUUCCGACCUGCACGAAUGGCGUAAUGAUGGCCAGGCUGUCUCCACCCGAGACUCAGUGAAAUUGAACUCGCUGUGAAGAUGCAGUGUACCCGCGGCAAGACGGAAAGACCCCGUGAACCUUUACUAUAGCUUGACACUGAACAUUGAGCCUUGAUGUGUAGGAUAGGUGGGAGGCUUUGAAGUGUGGACGCCAGUCUGCAUGGAGCCGGCCUUGAAAUACCACCCUUUAAUGUUUGAUGUUCUAACGUGGACCCGUGAUCCGGGUUGCGGACAGUGUCUGGUGGGUAGUUUGACUGGGGCGGUCUCCUCCUAAAGAGUAACGGAGGAGCACGAAGGUUGGCUAAUCCUGGUCGGACAUCAGGAGGUUAGUGCAAUGGCAUAAGCCAGCUUGACUGCGAGCGUGACGGCGCGAGCAGGUGCGAAAGCAGGUCAUAGUGAUCCGGUGGUUCUGAAUGGAAGGGCCAUCGCUCAACGGAUAAAAGGUACUCCGGGGAUAACAGGCUGAUACCGCCCAAGAGUUCAUAUCGACGGCGGUGUUUGGCACCUCGAUGUCGGCUCAUCACAUCCUGGGGCUGAAGUAGGUCCCAAGGGUAUGGCUGUUCGCCAUUUAAAGUGGUACGCGAGCUGGGUUUAGAACGUCGUGAGACAGUUCGGUCCCUAUCUGCCGUGGGCGCUGGAGAACUGAGGGGGGCUGCUCCUAGUACGAGAGGACCGGAGUGGACGCAUCACUGGUGUUCGGGUUGUCAUGCCAAUGGCACUGCCCGGUAGCUAAAUGCGGAAGAGAUAAGUGCUGAAAGCAUCUAAGCACGAAACUUGCCCCGAGAUGAGUUCUCCCUGAGACUUUAGGUCUCCUGAAGGAACGUUGAAGACGACGACGUUGAUAGGCCGGGUGUGUAAGCGCAGCGAUGCGUUGAGCUAACCGGUACUAAUGAACCGUGAGGCUUAACCUUACA